rnacentral:tRNA from 1 species
CGGGAUGUAGCGUAGUCCGGUUAUCGCGCCUGCUUUGGGAGCAGGAGACCGCCAGUUCGAAUCUGGCCAUCCCGA